rnacentral:rRNA from 1 species
GACGAACGCUGGCGGCGUGCUUAACACAUGCAAGUCGAACGGAAAGGCCCUGCUUUUGUGGGGUGCUCGAGUGGCGAACGGGUGAGUAACACGUGAGUAACCUGCCCUUGACUUUGGGAUAACUUCAGGAAACUGGGGCUAAUACCGGAUAGGAGCUCCUGCUGCAUGGUGGGGGUUGGAAAGUUUCGGCGGUUGGGGAUGGACUCGCGGGUUAUCAGCUUGUUGGUGGGGUAGUGGCUUACCAAGUCAUUGACGGGUAGCCGGCCUGAGAGGGUGACCGGCGACAUUGGGACUGAGAUACGGACCAGACUCCUACGGGAGGCAGCAGUGGAGAAUAUUGCACAAUGGGCGGAAGCCUGAUGCAGCAACGCCGCGUGCGGGAUGACGGCCUUCGGGUUGUAAACCGCUUUCGCCUGUGACGAAGCGUGAGUGACGGUAAUGGGUAAAGAAGCACCGGCUAACUACGUG